rnacentral:rRNA from 1 species
GGGGAAUUUUGCGCAAUGGGGGAAACCCUGACGCAGCAACGCCGCGUGGAGGACGAAGAUCUUCGGGUCGUAAACUCCUGUCGAGUGGGAAGAAUGCUUCGGGGGUGAAUAACCUCCGGAAUUGACGGUACCACUAAAGUAAGCACCGGCUACCUCCGUGCCAGCAGCCGCGGUAAUACGGCGGGUGCGAGCGUUGUCCGGAAUCAUUGGGCGUAAAGGGCGCGUAGGUGGCGGGACAAGCGUGCGGUGAAAGCUCGGGGCUCAACCCCGCGUCGGCCGUGCGAACUGUUUUGCUUGAGCACUGUAGAGGCAGGCGGAAUUCCGGGUGUAGCGGUGGAAUGCGUAGAGAUCCGGAAGAACACCGGUGGCGAAGGCGGCCUGCUGGGCAGUAGCUGACACUGAGGCGCGACAGCGUGGGGAGCAAAC